rnacentral:rRNA from 1 species
GCAUAUCAAUAAGCGGAGGAAAAGAAACUAACAAGGAUUCCCCUAGUAACUGCGAGUGAAGCGGGAAAAGCUCAAAUUUAAAAUCUGGUGGUCUUUGGCCAUCCGAGUUGUAAUUUAGAGAAGCGUCUUCCGCGCUGGACUGUGCACAAGUCUCCUGGAAUGGAGCGUCAUAGAGGGUGAGAAUCCCGUCUUUGGCACGGAUGUCCCAGGGCUUUUGUGAUGCGCUCUCGAAGAGUCGAGUUGUUUGGGAAUGCAGCUCAAAAUGGGUGGUGAACUCCAUCUAAAGCUAAAUAUUGGCGAGAGACCGAUAGCGAACAAGUACCGUGAGGGAAAGAUGAAAAGCACUUUGGAAAGAGAGUGAAACAGUACGUGAAAUUGUUGAAAGGGAAACGCUUGAAGUCAGUCGCGUCGACCGAGACUCAGCCUUGCCUCGGCUUGGUGUACUUCUCGGCUGACGGGCCAGCAUCAAUUUUGCCCCUUGGAUAAUGGCGGGGGAAAUGUGACACCUUUACGGUGUGUUAUAGUCCCUCGUCGCAUGCAAGGGUCGGGAUUGAGGAACUCAGCACGCGCCUUUGGCGUCGGGGCUUUGCCCACGAUACGUGCU